GAAGCUGUAAACUUCCCUGAUUUAUUUAAAAUGUGAGUUCAUUUUCGUGCCACUUCUGGGAAUGUAUUCUAGACAUCUGGGGUCUGUUCUCCAGGACAGACCUGGGCCCAGAAGAGACUGGGGUUCUGUUGAACAAGCAGAUUUAAGGUAGAAGUCAGGGUACCACUGGCUCAUGGGAGGAGACAGAAGAACCGAAAGGAUCUGGAGGGAAGAGGGAAGAGGAGAGGGUCUGGAGGGGCCUCAGCCUUGGAAAGCAGGGGCAUCUCUGUGGGAGACCCCUUAGGAGGAGGGUCUGUAGUGGGGCAGGAGAUGGAAAGGAGAGGACAUGAGAGAGGGGGCCUUGUGGCUGUAUGAGAAAGGCCACACACAAAUGGUUAAAAUAUUGCUUACUUCUAUUAUAUCAUGAAAAAAACGGCAGUGACCAGAGCUGCCUGGAUUAGGAAGAAAGGGUGUAAUUCCAUCUUGGGGCUUCUGGUGAGUUGAGCUUGUGGUUCUGUGGUUUAUGAUGUCACCAGAACCCCUGGCUGGAGUCACAGCCUUUUAAUUUACAACUUGGUAAAUGGGGAGGCCGAGGGUCCAUCAUGCCUGCUGGAAAUGUGGUGAAGGGACUGAGGCCUGAUCUUGGAGGGUAAAUUGAGCUGUAGCACGUCCAGCUGAGGACCCUGGCUGAGCUUCCCAUUAUCCUUUCCCACAGCCUGUAAGAUGCCAUCCCAUCUGGCCCCAGUCUCUCUCCCCAGCCUUCCCUUGAGCAACACUGUUCCUUGGACUCGCUCGUUUUAA